rnacentral:rRNA from 1 species
GGCGGGCAACUGUACCCACCGUUAACAAACUACGAAUACCGUUGGUGGUACCAUGGCAGUUAGAACAUCGGGGCUAAGCUCGGUGCUCAAAAGGGAAACAGCCCAGACCAUCAUCUAAGGUCCCUAAAUUAACACUAAGUGGGAAACAAGGUGAAAUUUCUUAAACAGCGAGGAUGUUGGCUUAGAAGCAGCCAUUCAUUUAAAGAGUGCGUAACAGCUCACUCGUCAAGAGAUUUUGCGUGGAAAAUGUAACGGGGCUAAAGUGUUAUACCGAAGAUAUGGAUUUCAUUAUUCCUACGGGUUUAAUGGAGUGGUAGAGGAGCGUUCCUAUCGGCAGUGAAGCUCAAUCGUAAGGUUGGGUGGAGCGUUAGGAAGUGAGAAUGCUGGAAUGAGUAACCAUAAGAAAGGUGAGAAUCCUUUCGGCCGUAAGAGCGAGGUUUCCAGGGCUACUGUAAUAAUCCCUGGGUUAGUCGGGCCUAAGCCGAGGCGUAGCAGCGUAGGCGAUGGACAUCAGGUUAAUAUUCCUGAACCGGUUAUAAUUUGUAUACUGUGUACGGUAAAUUAGUCGAAGCGGAUUAUUGGUAUAUAUCCGUCCAACUUAGCGGGAACGCAAAAGGAGUGAAAGUUAAUCUACGGAUUAACGAUUUUGAUGAAAGUACUGGCUAGAAAAGCAGAUAUACGCGUGGUUAUAGCCGCCCGUACCGCAAACCAACACAGGUGCUCGAGUCGAGUAGACUCAGGCUUACGAGAGACCCUUCGCUAAGGAACUCGGCAAAACAGCGACCGUAACUUCGGGAUAAGGUCUGCCUCCGCAUCAUUCGAUGCGAGUCGUGUUUCAAGCAAUUAGGUUAAGAUUAAUGGUAUAUAUGAGUAUCUUAAACUUCUUUACCGAGAUAGAACAAGUCAAAUGGCUUAGCUUGGAACGUGGCAAACUCGUAUCAAACGAUGCGGAGGCCGCAGCAAAAGAGCCCACGGAACUGUUUACCAAAAACACAGGUCUCUGCGAACACGAAAGUGGAUGUAUAGGGGCUGACUCCUGCCCAGUGCUGGAAGGUUAAGGGGAGUGCUUUACGGUGCGAACUGAAGCCCCAGUGAACGGCGGCGGUAACUAUAACCGUCCUAAGGUAGCGAAAUUCCUUGUCAGGUAAGUUCUGACCCGCACGAAUGGAGUAAUCAUGUGGGCACUGUCUCGGCGAAGGACUCGGUGAAAGUGCAUUGGCGGUAAAGAUGCCGUCUGUCCAUGCCAGGACGAGAAGACCCCAUGGAGCUUUACUACAGCUUUACAUUGACACGGGUUACAUUAUGUGUAGCAUAGGUGGGAGGCUUUGAAGCAGAUACGCCAGUAUUUGUGGAGCCACAGGUGAAAUACCACCCUUAAUGUAGUCUUUGUCUUACCAUUGCCGUUAUCCGGUAAU